rnacentral:lncRNA from 1 species
AGAAUGCACUGAGAACGUGACCGUUUAGAGGAGUUCAACGGUAUUUUGUCUUUUAUGUGAUACUGUUGUGAGUGUGGUGUUCAAGAUUGAACACAGGACCUCAUGCACAGCAGGUACCCUCUGUACCCUCGUUGACUGUCCUACAAGAUGAGACAUUACAGCAUCUCUAAUUUCCAAGUAUCCCCAUCUUGGUUCAAAGAAGAAACUGAGCAUCAAUGGAGUUGCUCCAGUUGUGGCAAGAUAGCCAGCCACUAUGGCCUUAAUUCAUCUACACACAAAAAUACUGCCCAGGAAAAGGACGGAAUAUGGGGAACAGUCGACCAAUAGCUCUGCCAAUACAGGAAUAAAGUUCAUUUACCCACUAUGGCUUCCAGUUCCACUGUAAUCUGGCAUUGGUCUUUUUUCUGCUUUUCACCUGAGAUUCUCUGGAUGAUAACCUGAAGCUCUUUGCUUGACAUAGUCCUUAUUUGGCUCAGUAUUGCCUGAGGCAAAGCAAUAAGGGAGAGCGAUAUCAACAUACUCACCAUCACCUGCAAAGCUGAAGUAUCCUGCUUCCUUUAACGGGCCUCACCUUGUAAAUCUUCCAUCAAUACCACCAGCAGCUGCAGACAAGUCUAAAGCAAAGGAAUAUUUAGGAAAUUUUCAGAACAAAAUUAUAUCAUAACUCAUGCAUAUGUGUAUGUGUAUAUAUUUAAUGUAUAUUUGUGUGUGUGUGUGUGUGUGUACACGUAUAUGUGUAUAUGUGUAAGCAUCAAGUCAAAAUCUUCAGGAGAUUUUAAGAAGAACCUACCAAAAUUAAGAAGAAAUUCAGAAAAAGUAGGUACAAAACCAUGACUUUGAUAGCAGACCACACAUGAGCAUGCUGCAGCUUUAAGAACCCAGCCACACAAAAUUAAGGAGCCAGCCAUUGCCACUGAUGCAGCUAAACAUUCACUCACCAUAAUGUGCAAGAUGAUCACCAUGACUAAGCACCCAGGGCAAUGACAAACGAAUGUCACACAAUAGAAAUGUGGUAGUUAUUGAAAGGGAUCAUGAAGAAAGGGGGGGGCAUUGAAAUGUUGGUUAUCGAAUGCUAGAUAAUCAGAGUUAAAAUAAAAAAUAUUACAUAGUCACAGGGAAGGUGACAUGACUUAGGUUUUUAACAGAAAAGAGUAGUAAUCUUAUAAGGCUGAGUGGAAGGAUUAGCACUCUCAAGAAUGACGUAACUGGAAGGGGAAAGAAGAGCAGGAGAUGCAGACUCCAGAGGACAUGUUAUGUGCAGCACAGCUGUGGGCAGAGUACGAGCAUCCUUUCACAAGCCAAC